AACGAACGCUGGCGGCAUGCCUAACACAUGCAAGUCGAACGAGACCUUCGGGUCUAGUGGCGCACGGGUGCGUAACGCGUGGGAACCUGCCCUUAGGUUCGGAAUACCUCCCCGAAAGGGGUGCUAACACCGGAUAAUGUCUUCGGACCAAAGAUUUAUCGCCUUUGGUUGGGCCCGCGUUGGAUUAGCUAGUUGGUAGGGUAAAAGCCUACCAAGGCGACGAUCCAUAGCUGGUCUGAGAGGAUGAUCAGCCACACUGGGACUGAGACACGGCCCAGACUCCGACGGGAGGCAGCAGUGGGGGAUAUUGGACCAUGGGCGAAAGCCUGAUCCAGCACUGCCGCGUGAGUGAUGAAGGCCUUAGGGAUGUAAAGCUCUUUUACCCGGGAAGGUAAUGACAGUACCGAGUGAAUAAGCUCCGGCUAACUCCGUG
rnacentral:rRNA from 1 species